UACGUAGGGUGCAAGCGUUAAUCGGAAUUACUGGGCGUAAAGCGUGCGCAGGCGGUGAUGUAAGACAGAUGUGAAAUCCCCGGGCUCAGCCUGGGAACUGCAUUUGUGACUGCAUCGCUGGAGUACGGCAGAGGGGGAUGGAAUUCCGCGUGUAGCAGUGAAAUGCGUAGAUAUGCGGAGGAACACCGAUGGCGAAGGCAAUCCCCUGGGCCUGUACUGACGCUCAUGCACGAAAGCGUGGGGAACAAACAGG
rnacentral:rRNA from 1 species